rnacentral:rRNA from 1 species
AAGUAAUACAUGCAAGUCGAGCGCAGGAAGCUCACGGAACUCUUCGGAGGGAAGUGAAGGGAAUGAGCGGCGGACGGGUGAGUAACACGUAAGGAACCUGCCCCAAGGAUUGGGAUAACUCCGAGAAAUCGGAGCUAAUACCGAAUAGUUCUUCAGACCGCAUGGUCUGAUGAUGAAAGGCGCUUCGGCGUCACCUUGGGAUGGCCUUGCGGUGCAUUAGCUAGUUGGUGGGGUAACUGGCUCACCAAGGCGACGAUGCAUAGCCGACCUGAGAGGGUGAUCGGCCACACUGGGACUGAGACACGGCCCAGACUCCUACGGGAGGCAGCAGUAGGGAAUCUUCCACAAUGGACGAAAGUCUGAUGGAGCAACGCCGCGUGAGUGAUGAAGGUUUUCGGAUCGUAAAACUCUGUUGUAAGGGAAGAACAAGUCCGAGAGGUAAUGCUCGUACCUUGACGGUACCUUGCGAGAAAGCCACGGCUUUACUACCUGCCAGCAGCCGCGGGAAUACGUAGGUGGCAAGCGUGCCGAUUUUG